rnacentral:rRNA from 1 species
AGUUAUUGUAUCUACUAGGUGAGGUAAUGGCUCACCAAGGCUACGAUGGGUAGGGGUUCUUAGUGGAAGGUCCCCCACACUGGCACUGAGAUACGGGCCAGACUCCUACGGGAGGCAGCAGUAGGGAAUAUUGGUCAAUGGGCGCAAGCCUGAACCAGCCAUGCCGCGUGCAGGAUGAAGGCUCUCUGAGUUGUAAACUGCUUUUGUACAGGAGCAAAAAAAUCCCUGCGGGGGUUCUUGAGAGUACUGUAAGAAUAAGCACCGGCUAAUUCCGUGCCAGCAGCCGCGGUAAUACGGGAGGUGCAAGCGUUAUCCGGUUUUAUUGGGUUUAAAGGGUGCGUAGGCGGCUUAUUAAGUCAGUUGUGAAAUCCUAGUGCUUAACGCUAGAACUGCGAUUGAUACUAUU